rnacentral:rRNA from 1 species
AGGUCAAGCUACAAAGGGCGUAUGGUGAAUGCCUUGGCAUCAGGAGCCGAUGAAGGACGCGAUAAGCUGCGAUAAGCUUCGGGUAGACGCACAUAGUCAGAGAUCCGAAGAUUUCCGAAUGAGGAAACUCACAUGGGAAACCCCAUGUAUCUUAAAGUGAAUACAUAGCUUUAUGAAGGUAAACCCAGGGAACUGAAACAUCUAAGUACCUGGAGGAAGAGAAAGAAAAAUCGAUUUUCUUAGUAGCGGCGAGCGAAAAGGAAAGAGCCCAAACCAGAAAUUUAUUUCUGGGGUUGCGGACAGAACAUAACGAGCAAUCAUGGUUAAUCGAACAUAACUGGAAAGUUAGACCGUAGGGGGUAAUAGUCCCGUAGAUGAAAAUUAUGACAAUCAGUUCUGCACCAGAGUACCACGAGACACGUGAAACCUUGUGGGAAGCAGGGAGGACCACCUCCCAAGGCUAAAUACUACCUGAUGACCGAUAGUGAAGCAGUACCGUGAGGGAAAGGUGAAAAGAACCCCGGGAGGGGAGUGAAAUAGAACCUGAAACCAUAUGCCUACAACCGAUCAAAGCACCAUAUGUGUGUGAUGAUGUGCUUUUUGUAGAACGAGCCAACGAGUUACGGUAUGUAGCGAGGUUAAGUACUUAAGGUACGGAGCCGAAGGGAAACCAAGUCUUAAUAGGGCGACUAGUUGCAUGCUGUAGACCCGAAACCGGGUGACCUAUCCAUGGCCAGGUUGAAGCGAGGGUAAAACCUCGUGGAGGACCGAACCACGUUGCUGUUGAAAAAGCAUGGGAUGAGCUGUGGAUAGCGGAGAAAUUCCAAUCGAACUCGGAUAUAGCUGGUUCUCCUCGAAAUAGCUUUAGGGCUAGCGUCGGAAAAUGUGAGUAGUGGAGGUAGAGCACUGAAUAGGCUAGGGGGCAUAGCGCUUACCGAACCUUAUCAAACUCCGAAUGCCAUAUACUAUCAGUCCGGCAGUCAGACUGUGAAAGAUAAGUUCCAUGGUCAAAAGGGAAACAGCCCAGAUCGUCAGCUAAGGUCCCAAAGUGUAAGUUAAGUGGAAAAGGAUGUGGGAUUUCUAAGACAACUAGGAUGUUGGCUUAGAAGCAGCCACUCAUUAAAAGAGUGCGUAAUAGCUCACUAGUCAAGAGAUCCUGCGCCGAAAAUGUCCGGGGCUCAAACUUACCACCGAAGCUACGGGUUCACAAUUUAUUGUGAGCGGUAGAGGAGCGUCGUAAUCGGGCUGAAGUCGUACCGUAAGGAGCGGUGGACUGAUUACGAGUGAGAAUGUUGGCAUUAGUAGCGAGAUGUAAGUGAGAAUCUUACAGGCCGAAUAUCUAAGGUUUCCUGAGUAAAGUUUGUCUUCUCAGGGUUAGUCGGGACCUAAGGCGAGGCCGAAAGGCGUAGUCGAUGGACAAUUGGUUGAUAUUCCAAUACCACUACAAUCGUUAUUAUCGAUGGUGUGACGGAGAAGGAUAGGAUGUGCUAGCUAUUGGAUGCUAGUCUAAGCGUUUAGGGAGUUAGGAUAGGCAAAUCCGUUCUAACAAUUCUGAGGCGUGAUGGGGAAGGUUCUACGGAACCGAAGUAUCUGAUUCCAUGCUUCCAAGAAAAGCAUCUAGAAAGAGAAGUAGUGCCCGUACCGCAAACCGACACAGGUAGAUGAGGAGAGAAUCCUAAGGCCGACGGAAGAAUUGCAGUUAAGGAACUAGGCAAAUUGACCCCGUAACUUCGGGAGAAGGGGUGCCUGCAGCAAUGCAGGCCGCAGAGAAUAGGCACAAGCAACUGUUUAACAAAAACACAGGUCUCUGCUAAAGCGUAAGCUGAUGUAUAGGGGCUGACGCCUGCCCGGUGCUGGAAGGUUAAGGGGAAUGCUUAGCGGUAACGCGAAGGUGUGAACUUAAGCCCCAGUAAACGGCGGCCGUAACUAUAACGGUCCUAAGGUAGCGAAAUUCCUUGUCAGGUAAGUUCUGACCCGCACGAAUGGCGUAAUGACUUGUGCACUGUCUCAACUGCAAAUCCGGCGAAGUUGUAGUGCGAGUGAAGAUGCUCGCUACCCGCGAUUGGACGGAAAGACCCCGUAGAGCUUUACUGUAGCUUAGCAUUGAAUUUCGGUAUUGUCUGUACAGGAUAGGUGGGAGACUGGGAAACCAGAGCGUCAGCUUUGGUGGAGUCGUUGUUGGGAUACCACCCUGAUAGUAUUGAAGUUCUAACUGGAUGCCAUGAAACUGGUGACAGGACAUUGUUAGGUGGGCAGUUUGACUGGGGCGGUCGCCUCCUAAAAUGUAACGGAGGCGCCCAAAGGUUCCCUCAGAACGGUCGGAAAUCGUUCGAAGAGUGCAAAGGCAGAAGGGAGCCUGACUGCGACACCUACAAGUGGAGCAGGGACGAAAGUCGGGCUUAGUGAUCCGGUGGUACCUCGUGGGAGGGCCAUCGCUCAACGGAUAAAAGCUACCUCGGGGAUAACAGGCUGAUCUCCCCAAGAGUUCACAUCGACGGGGAGGUUUGGCACCUCGAUGUCGGCUCGUCGCAUCCUGGGGCUGAAGUAGGUCCCAAGGGUUGGGCUGUUCGCCCAUUAAAGCGGCACGCGAGCUGGGUUCAGAACGUCGUGAGACAGUUCGGUCCCUAUCCGUCGCGGGCGUAGGAAAUUUGAGAGGAGCUGUCCUUAGUACGAGAGGACCGGGAUGGACUGACCUAUGGUGUACCAGUUGUUUCGCCAGAAGCAUAGCUGGGUAGCUAAGUCGGGAAUGGAUAAACGCUGAAAGCAUCUAAGUGUGAAGCCAACCUCAAGAUUAGAUUUCCCAUAGCGUAAGCUAGUAAGACCCCUUGAAGACUACAAGGUUGAUAGGUCAGAGGUGUAAGUAUGGUAACAUAUUUAGCUGACUGAUACUAAUAGGUCGAGGGCUUGACCAAU